rnacentral:rRNA from 1 species
AUUGAACGCUGGCGGCAGGCUUAACACAUGCAAGUCGAGCGGGGAAAGGUAGCUUGCUACCUGACCUAGCGGCGGACGGGUGAGUAAUGCUUAGGAAUCUGCCUAUUAGUGGGGGACAACAUCUCGAAAGGGAUGCUAAUACCGCAUACGUCCUACGGGAGAAAGCAGGGGACCUUCGGGCCUUGCGCUAAUAGAUGAGCCUAAGUCGGAUUAGCUAGUUGGUGGGGUAAAGGCCUACCAAGGCGACGAUCUGUAGCGGGUCUGAGAGGAUGAUCAGCCACACUGGGACUGAGACACGGCACAGACUCCUACGGGAGGCAGCAGUGGGGAAUAUUGGACAAGGGGGGGAAACCUGAUCCAGCCAUGCCGCGUGUGUGAAGAAGGCCUUUUGGUUGUAAAGCACUUUAAGCGAGGAGGAGGCUACCGAGAUUAAUACUCUUGGAUAGUGGACGUUACUCGCAGAAUAAGCACCGGCUAACUCUGUG